ACUCCUACGGGAGGCAGCAGUGGGGAAUAUUGCACAAUGGGCGCAAGCCUGAUGCAGCCAUGCCGCGUGUAUGAAGAAGGCCUUCGGGUUGUAAAGUACUUUCAGCGAGGAGGAAGGCAUUGUGGUUAAUAACCGCAGUGAUUGACGUUACU
rnacentral:rRNA from 1 species